CAGCACCUCAAGUGGUCAGGAUGAUUAUUGGGCCUAAAGCAUCCGUAGCCUGCUUUGUUAGUUUUCGGUUAAAUCCAUACGCUCAACGUAUGGGCUGCCGGGAAUACUGCAAAGCUAGGGAGCGGGAGAGGUAGACGGUACUCGGUAGGAAGGGGUAAAAUCCUUUGAUCUAUUGAUGACCACCUGUGGCGAAGGCGGUCUACCAGAACACGUCCGACGGUGAGGGAUGAAAGCUGGGGGAGCAAAUCGGAUUAGAUACCCGAGUAGUCC
rnacentral:rRNA from 1 species